rnacentral:misc_RNA from 1 species
CGGGGCAGAAAAUUGGAC